rnacentral:rRNA from 1 species
GUAGGGUGGGCAAGCGUUGUCCGGAAUUAUUGGGCGUAAAGCGCGCGCAGGGCGGUCCUUUAAGUCUGAUGUGAAAGCCCACGGCUCAACCGUGGAGGGUCAUUGGAAACUGGGGGACUUGAGUACAGAAGAGGAAAGCGGAAUUCCAAGUGUAGCGGUGAAAUGCGUAGAGAUUUGGAGGAACACCAGUGGCGAAGGCGGCUUUCUGGUCUGUAACUGACGCUGAGGCGCGAAAGCGUGGGGAGCAAACAGGAUUAGAUACCCUGGUAGUCCACGCCGUAAACGAUGAGUGCUAAGUGUUAGGGGGUUUCCGCCCCUUAGUGCUGCAGCUAACGCAUUAAGCACUCCGCCUGGGGAGUACGGCCGCAAAGGCUG